CGAUGACGCUGGCGGCAUGCCUUACACAUGCAAGUCGAACGGCAGCACGGGUGCUUGCACCUGGUGGCGAGUGGCGAACGGGUGAGUAAUACAUCGGAACAUGUCCUGUAGUGGGGGAUAGCCCGGCGAAAGCCGGAUUAAUACCGCAUACGAUCCACGGAUGAAAGCGGGGGACCUUCGGGCCUCGCGCUAUAGGGUUGGCCGAUGGCUGAUUAGCUAGUUGGUGGGGUAAAGGCCUACCAAGGCGACGAUCAGUAGCUGGUCUGAGAGGACGACCAGCCACACUGGGACUGAGACACGGCCCAGACUCCUACGGGAGGCAGCAGUGGGGAAUUUUGGACAAUGGGCGAAAGCCUGAUCCAGCAAUGCCGCGUGUGUGAAGAAGGCCUUCGGGUUGUAAAGCACUUUUGUCCGGAAAGAAAUCCUUGGCUCUAAUACAGUCGGGGGAUGACGGUACCGGAAGAAUAAGCACCGGCUAACUACGUGCCAGCAGCCGCGGUAAUACGUAGGGUGCAAGCGUUAAUCGGAAUUACUGGGCGUAAAGCGUGCGCAGGCGGUUUGCUAAGACCGAUGUGAAAUCCCCGGGCUCAACCUGGGAACUGCAUUGGUGACUGGCAGGCUAGAGUAUGGCAGAGGGGGGUAGAAUUCCACGUGUAGCCGUGAAAUGCGUAGAGAUGUGGAGGAAUACCGAUGGCGAAGGCAGCCCCCUGGGCCAAUACUGACCCUCAUGCACGAAAGCGUGGGGAGCAACAGGAUUAGAUACCCUGGUAGUCCACGCCCUAAACGAUGUCACUAGUUGUUGGGGAUUCAUUUCCUUGUACGUA
rnacentral:rRNA from 1 species